UACAUGGGGUGCAAACGUUGCUCGGAAUUAUUGGGCGUAAAGCGCGCGUAGGCGGUUACUUAAGUCGGAUGUGAAAGCCCUCGGCUUAACUGAGGAAGUGCACCCGAAACUGAGUAGCUAGAGUACGAAAGAGGGUCGCGGAAUUCCCGGUGUAGAGGUGAAAUUCGUAGAUAUCGGGAGGAACACCAGUGGCGAAGGCGGCUUCCUGGCCUGCUCUUGACGCUGAGGCGCGAAAGCUAGGGUAGCAAACGGG
rnacentral:rRNA from 1 species